rnacentral:rRNA from 1 species
GAACCUUACCGGGGCUUGACAUCCUGCGACAUCCCAUGAAAGUGGGCUUCCGGGCAACCGGACGCAGAGACAGGUGCUGCAUGGCUGUCGUCAGCUCGUGCCGUGAGGUGUUGGGUUAAGUCCCGCAACGAGCGCAACCCUCGCCGUGUGUUGGUCCGCAAGGAUCUCUCACGCGGGACCGCCGAUGAGAAGUCGGAGGAAGGUGGGGAUGACGUCAAGUCAGCAUGGCCCUUACGUCCCGGGCUACACACGUGCUACAAUGGGUAGGACAACGGGUUGCGAGCUAGUGAUAGUAAGCUAAUCCCUCAAACCUGCCCUCAGUUCGGAUUGGAGGCUGCAACUCGCCUCCAUGAAGUCGGAAUCGCUAGUAAACGCAGAUCAGCUACGCUGCGUUGAAUACGUUCCCGGGCCUUGUCACACCGA